GACGAACGCUGGCGGCGUGCUUAACACAUGCAAGUCGAACGGAAGGGCCCUGCUUUUGUGGGGUGCUCGAGUGGCGAACGGGUGAGUAACACGUGAGUAACCUGCCCUUGACUUUGGGAUAACUUCAGGAAACUGGGGCUAAUACCGGAUAGGAGCUCCUGCUGCAUGGUGGGGGUUGGAAAGUUUCGGCGGUUGGGGAUGGACUCGCGGCUUAUCAGCUUGUUGGUGGGGUAGUGGCUUACCAAGGCUUUGACGGGUAGCCGGCCUGAGAGGGUGACCGGCCACAUUGGGACUGAGAUACGGCCCAGACUCCUACGGGAGGCAGCAGUGGGGAAUAUUGCACAAUGGGCGGAAGCCUGAUGCAGCAACGCCGCGUGCGGGAUGACGGCCUUCGGGUUGUAAACCGCUUUCGCCUGUGACGAGGCGUGAGUGACGGUAAUGGGUAAAGAAGCACCGGCUAACUACGUG
rnacentral:rRNA from 1 species